GGGGAAUAUUGGACAAUGGGCGCAAGCCUGAUCCAGCAAUGCCGCGUGGGUGAAGACGGCCUGCGGGUUGUAAAGCCCUUUAGGCGGGGAGGAACGACGGGACGCGAAUACCGUUUCGAAGUGACGUUACCCGCAGAAUAAGCACCGGCUAACUCCGUGCCAGCAGCCGCGGUAAUACGGAGGGUGCGAGCGUUAAUCGGAAUUACUGGGCGUAAAGCGUGCGUAGGCGGUGGGGUCAGUCAGCCGUGAAAGCCCUGGGCUUAACCUGGGAACGGCGGUUGAGACGGCCCGACUUGAGUGGGCUAGAGGAUCGUGGAAUUCCGGGUGUAGCGGUGAAAUGCGUAGAGAUCCGGAGGAACACCGAUGGCGAAGGCAGCGGUCUGGGGCCACACUGACGCUGAGGCACGACGGCGUGGGGAGCAAAC
rnacentral:rRNA from 1 species